CCUUGCGUCACCCACUGUCCCCAGCGUCGCGCCCCCGCCGGGAUUACGCACUUGGCCACGCUCUGCCUCUCGGGCCGCGACCUCCGAGCACCAGACAGCUGCUGCCACUGGCUGAAAACAGAACAUUCCCAGAAAACUUCCCCUGAGCCAAGAUGUUUUAAAGCAAAAAUCAACAACCUCAUUCACACCAUGCUCACAGAUACACAGCAGCCAUGGAGAUAAAGUACAGAUGCUAACAGACACAUUCAAAACUAGUGCGGCCUGAAGCUGAGAUGCUGAGUCUGCUCUUUCAGGAAAAAGCUUGAAGGGGCCAUUCUUGCUCCUGGCGGUUUCAUUGCCUCUAUAAUGGGCCCUGCAAAGUAAACACUGGAUGUGAUUUUCAA